rnacentral:rRNA from 1 species
CGGCGUGGCAUGACCCGAGCGUAGUGACACUAUUUUUGCUCCGUGGGUUUCGUGCGACGGUGGCCAGAACUGGAUGUCACAGUCCAACUUCUCAAAGGUUGACCUCGGAUCAGGUAGGGAUACCCGCUGAACUUAAGCAUAUCAAUAAGCGGAGGAAAAGAAACCAACAGGGAUUGCCUCAGUAACGGCGAGUGAAGCGGCAACAGCUCAAAUUUGAAAUCCGGCUUCGUGCCCGAGUUGUAAUUUGCAGAGGGUAUUUCGAGGGCGACGUCGGCCUAAGUCCCUUGGAACAGGGCGUCAUAGAGGGUGAGAAUCCCGUCUGCGGCCGACGAUCCAUCUCAUGUGAAAUCCCUUCGACGAGUCGAGUUGUUUGGGAAUGCAGCUCAAAAUGGGUGGUAAAUUUCAUCUAAAGCUAAAUACCGGCCAGAGACCGAUAGCGCACAAGUAGAGUGAUCGAAAGAUGAAAAGCACUUUGGAAAGAGAGUUAAAAAGUACGUGAAAUUGUUGAAAGGGAAACGCUUGCCAAUAGACCGAUCGGCGGGCUGCAGUUGGGGAUUUCUCUCCCGGCGUGACGCACCCGUCAUUCGGCCAGCAUCGGUUUCGGUGGCUCGACAAAGAUCGUGGGAACGUGGCUCCUCGGAGUGUUAUAGCCCACGAUGUCAUGGAGCCUACCGGGACCGAGGACCGCGCUUCGGCUAGGAUGCUGGCGUAAUGUUGUUAAGCGACC